rnacentral:rRNA from 1 species
GACGAACGCUGGCGGCGUGCCUAAUACAUGCAAGUCGAACGCACAGUUUAUACCGUAGCUUGCUACACCAUAGACUGUGAGUUGCGAACGGGUGAGUAACGCGUAGGUAACCUGCCUGGUAGCGGGGGAUAACUAUUGGAAACGAUAGCUAAUACCGCAUAUAUUUAUUAUUACCUGGCAAUUAAUUGAAAGGUACCAUUGAAACACUACCACGCGGGACUGCGUUUUAUUAGCAAGUGGGUGGGGUAACGGCUCAACUAGGCGAAGAUACAGAGCCGACCUGGGAGGGUGAGCGGCCACACUGGGACUGGGACACGGCCCAGACUCCUACGGGAGGCAGCAGUAGGGAUACGUCGGCAAGGGACGAAAGUCUGAGCGAGAAACGCCGCGGGAGGGAAGAAGGUGUUCGGAUCGUAAAGCGCAGUUGUAAGAGAAGAACGGGUGUGAGAGUGGAAAGGUCACACUGUGACGGUAGCUGACCGGAAAGGGACGGCUAACUACGUG